CAAAUUGGGGGUCCCCACGUCACGGUGCCCCCCACGGGCCCUGUCCCCAGGGCCUGGGUGGGACCACCUGGUGCUGGGGGGUGGUUAAAAGGGUGCAGAGCAUCCCCCCCCCAUAAUCCCCCCCCCAUAAUCCCCCCCUCCCGACCCCGUUUUCUCACCCAGCCCCCCUGCGGUUGGCUGGCACGGGGCUGACGUCACUAAAAUAUGCAGAUUUAUGCGCGUUAACCCUUUCCUUGCCGGGGAGAGGGGGGGGUGGUUCGGGGGUUGGGGUCCCCCGCGGGGGGGUGGGGGGGUGGCCCCGGAACCCCCCCCCCAGCCUGAGGGUUGCCAUGGGAACCGGAGGGCUUCUGAUGUCACGGGGAGGUUGCUACGCGACGGGCCCCGCGUGAUGUCACUGUCACCAUGGCGACAGCACGGGGGGGAUUUGGGCCCCCCCCCGGGGAUGGGGCCGGGGAUGGAGGGGGGGGGGGCGGCCACUCACAGCCCCCCGGGGGGACGGGCACCCGUGGGACCUCUCCCAAGGGGACCGCAAACGCUUCUCAUUAAAACAGCGGGGAAAAAUUCCCAAAAACCAUUUUUUUUUCUUUUUUUGGCACAGUCUGAGUCAUUAUUUUUAGAAGCGCCGACGGCCCAGCCGCCUGUUUUUGCAAUGUGCUGUGGGUCCCGGGGAAAUGUGUGGCCCUAUGACGGGGUGGGGAAUGGUGGGGAGGGGGCUCCCCGACGUGGGGGGCAGCUGGGGACAGAGGGGGACAAGGGACAAGCACCGGGGGAAUGGAGCAGGGGGGCAAGGGGCUGGUGGCCCCUCGGUGCCAUGUCCCUGUCCCCACUGGUGGCACGGGGACCGUCGUGGGAAUGUUGGACCCCCCCAGACCGCUGUGGAGCCCAGCAAGAGGAGCUCCCCAGCCUCGGGGCCAAAGCAGCGUCCAUCCCACCGGCCCAGCUGGAAACUGGAUGCAGAGCAAGCCUGGAAAAGUCCAGCCCUGAGCUUUAUCAGUGCCUGAAGAGCGCUCAGAAGGAAAACCCAUCCCACAACCUGGAGCGGAGCGUGGCACUUGCAUGGAGAAGAUGCAAGGGGAGCUUCUUGUCCCACGCCUGGUGGUCAAGCUCUGUGGCUGCAUGAGAAGGGCUUUGAAAGUGCCAGGCAGUGCAUGGGGACGUGGCAGCACCACCUGCGAGCUGGGUGUGGAGGUCCCCAAACCGGGUCCCCAAACCCGGCUUUGCUGGGAGAUCAGCCCCUUACCCCCAGCACUGAGGUCUGCACGUGCUGGAAAUGCUGGGAUGUGCUGGGACUGCUGGGACAGUUUGGGCGGCAGGGGGACCAACCGGUCAGUGGGAUCUCUCCACAACCCACACACCUCUCCCCACCUGCCCUCUUACCCCGUCCAUCCUUCCCAAAAUCCAGCAAAGGAGCCAGCAACCAGAAGGCUGCCAGCCAUCAAAAAAUAAAGCAGCAGGCACCGAGCA
rnacentral:lncRNA from 1 species